GUGCCUCCCACCUCCUCCCUCAGUCCUCAGACCCUCAGCACGAGAGAGAUUAGGCAAGUAGCAUCGCUAGGCAUUCAAGCACCUAGCCUGGAGCUCCUAGACUGGACAGAUGCCAUUCACCAGUCACGGUGCUUCUUCUCUUUGGCUAAUGACUCAGAAGAGAUGUCAGGCCUUUCCCUCAGGUCUGACAGGUAGAAGAUGCUUAAACAAACUGCGUGACUUGCUCUCCCUUACAGGCCUCUGCUCUGGAAUGACCUGACCAGGUGUAGGUGCUCUGGUACCUCAUGUUCUCAUGAAAGCUGUCUCGGGACACCCGGGUGUCUCUAAAGUCCGGCACACAGCAGGUGCUGCUAACACAUGUGCUGAGUCAACGAAGAAAAGAAGAAAAAAUGAUCAUGUGAUUCUGAACAAGUCACUCUAUCCUUUGGCUGUGUACACACGUGUGCGUGUGGGUGUGCAUUCAAGUUCACGUAUGCACAACAUGAGAGCCAGAAGACACCCAGUGUCCUGCUCCAGGACUCCCUUAUUUCCCUGAGACGGGUUCUCCCUGGCCCUGAGCCUAGCACGGGCAGCCAGCGCACGCCCAUGAUCCUCCUGUUUCUGCUCGCACAGCACUGGAGUUAAAGGCAGCAUGCUUUUAACAUGUGCUGGAGGGGUUGGGGAUUUAGCUCAGCGGUAGAGCGCUUGCCUAGCAAGUGCAAGGCCCUGGGUUCGGUCCCCAGCUCCG
rnacentral:lncRNA from 1 species